GCCUACGGGGCGCAGCAGUAGGGAAUCUUCCACAAUGGGCGAAAGCCUGAUGGAGCAACGCCGCGUGGGUGAGGAAGGUCUUCGGAUCGUAAAACCCUGUUGUUAGAGAAGAAAGUGCGUGAGAGUAACUGUUCACGUUUCGACGGUAUCUAACCAGAAAGCCACGGCUAACUACGUGCCAGCAGCCGCGGUAAUACGUAGGUGGCAAGCGUUAUCCGGAUUUAUUGGGCGUAAAGAGAACGCAGGCGGUCUUUUAAGUCUGAUGUGAAAGCCUUCGGCUUAACCGGAGUAGUGCAUUGGAAACU
rnacentral:rRNA from 1 species